CUCAAUUAAAAGAGGGAUGAAAGAUACCAAAGGGACAGUCAAACUCAUAAAUCUAAAACAAACUGACAACGCCAUGGCUAAAAAUGAAAAAGACAAACAGAAAAACAAUAGUACACAUGACACAACAUAGAAAACUAAAGAAUAAACAACACGAACCCCACCAAAAACUAGGGGUGAUCUCAGGUGCUCCGGAAGGGUAAGCAGAUCCUGCUCCACAUGUGGCACCCGUCGUGUUGCUUAUGUGAUUACAAAUCAGGUAAAUAGUCUAAUUCGGUAGGUCACAUUCAUGAAAGGGAAGGG
rnacentral:lncRNA from 1 species